rnacentral:rRNA from 1 species
AAAGAUUAAGCCAUGCGUGUCUAAGUAUAAGCACUUUAUACUGUGAAACUGCGAAUGGCUCAUUAAAUCAGUUAUCGUUUAUUUGAUAGUACCUUACUACAUGGAUACCUGUGGUAAUUCUAGAGCUAAUACAUGCUAAAAACCUCGACUUCGGAAGGGGUGUAUUUAUUAGAUAAAAAACCAAUGCCCUUCGGGGCUCCUUGGUGAUUCAUAAUAACUUAACGAAUCGCAUGGCCUUGCGCCGGCGAUGGUUCAUUCAAAUUUCUGCCCUAUCAACUUUCGAUGGUAGGAUAGUGGCCUACCAUGGUGG